rnacentral:rRNA from 1 species
UACGUAGGAGGCGGGCGUUGUCCGGAAUUACUGGGCGUAAAGAGCGCGUAGGCGGCGCGGUACGACCGCUGUGAAAGCCCCCAGCUCAACUGGGGAGGUCAGCGGUAACGGCCGUGCUAUGAGUGCAGGAGAGGGAAGUGGAACUCCGGGAGUGAGCGGUGAAUGCGUAGAGACCCGGAGGAACACCAGUGGCGAAGGCGGCUUCCUGGUCGUGCGACUGACGCUGUGGCGCGAAAGCUAGGGGAGCAAACGGG